AGUGGCAGACGGGUGAGUAAUGUAUAGGAAUCUACCUAGUAGUACGGAAUAAUUGUUGGAAACGGCAACUAAUACCGUAUACGCCCUACGGGGGAAAAAUUUAUUGCUAUUAGAUGAGCCUAUAUUAGAUUAGUUAGUUGGUGAGGUAAAGGCUUACCAAGACAAUGAUCUAUAGCUGAUCUGAGAGGAUGAUCAGCCACACUGGAACUGAGAUACGGUCCAGACUCCUACGGGAGGCAGCAGUGGGGAAUAUUGGACAAUGGGCGAAAGCCUGAUCCAGCCAUGCCGCAUGAGUGAAGAAGGCCUUCGGGUUGUAAAGCUCUUUUAGUGAGGAAGAUAAUGACGGUACUCACAGAAGAAGUCCUGGCUAACUCCGUGCCAGCAGCCGCGGUAAUACGGAGAGGGCUAGCGUUAUUCGGAAUCAUUGGGCGUAAAGGGCGCGUAGGCGGGUUAGUAAGUUAAAAGUGAAAUCCCAAGGCUCAACCUUGGAACUGCUUUUAAAACUGCUAGUCUAGAGAUUGAAAGAGGAUAGAGGAAUUCCUAGUGUAGAGAUGAAAUUCGUAAAUAUUAGGAGGAACACCAGUGGCGAAGGCGUCUAUCUGGUUCAAAUCUGACGCUGAGGCGCGAAGGCGUGGGGAGCAAACAGGAUUAGAUACCCUGGUAGUCCACGCUGUAAACGAUGAAUGUUAAAUAUGGGAAGUUUACUUUCUGUAUUAUAGCUAACGCGUUAAACAUUCCGCCUGGGGACUACGGUCGCAAGAUUAAAACUCAAAGGAAUUGACGGGG
rnacentral:rRNA from 2 species